UACGGAGGGUGCAAGCGUUAUCCGGAUUUACUGGGUUUAAAGGGUGCGUAGGUGGGUAGGUAAGUCAGUGGUGAAAUCUUCGAGCUUAACUCGGAAACUGCCAUUGAUACUAUUUAUCUUGAAUACUCUGGAGGUAAGCGGAAUAUGUCAUGUAGCGGUAAAAUGCUUAGAUAUGACAUAGAACACCAAUUGCGAAGGCAGCUUACUACAUAGUUAUUGACACUGAGGCACGAAAGCGUGGGGAUCAAACAGG
rnacentral:rRNA from 1 species